AGCGUGGGGAGCAAAAAGGAUUAGAUACCCUUGUAGUCCACGCCGUAAACGAUGCAGACUAGGUGUUUCGAGUAUCGACCCUCGAAGUGCCGUAGCUAACGCGUUAAGUCUGCCGCCUGGGAAGUACGGCCGCAAGGCUAAAACUCAAAGGAAUAGACGGGGACUCGCACAAGCGGUGGAGCAUGAGGUUUAAUUCGACAAUAAACGAAGAACCUUACCAGGGCUGGAAAUUCUAUCGAAGACAGUCCGAAAGGAUUGUCGUCUCUCAAGGACGGUAGGACAGGUGCUGCAUGGUUGUCGUCAGCUCGUGUUUUGAAAUGUUCCCUUAAGUGGGGUAACGAGCGCAACCCCUAUCUGAUGUUACUUUUUCAUCGGAGACCGCCCCCGCUAAAGCUUGCAAGAGCGAGAAAUUCGGAUUUCGGAUUUCUAAUACUUGUCGGUUUUAGCGGGGGAGGAAGGCGGGGAUGACGUCAAAUCAGCAUGGCCCUUUGAUGCCCUGGGCUACACUCAUGCUACAAUGGUGCGUACAAUGGGUUGCCAAGUCGUAAGACGGAGCCAAUCCCAUCAAAGCGUACCUCAGUUCGGAUUGAGGGCUGCAAUUCGCCCUCAUGAAGUUGGAAUCGCUAGUAAUCGUGGGUCAGCCAUACCACGGUGAAUACGUUCUCGAGUCCUGUACUCACCGCCCGUCAAGUCAAGGAAGCCGGGGAUGCCCGAAAUUUCACCUCGGUGGGAUUAGGGUAAAUUCGGUAACAAGGGCUAAGUCGUAACAAGGCACGCGUAGCGGAAGCUGUGCGUGGAUCAAUUAAACU
rnacentral:rRNA from 1 species